rnacentral:rRNA from 1 species
GUCUAUGACCACACCACCCUGAACGCGCCCGAUCUCAUCUGAUCUCGGAAGCUAAGUGGGGUCGGGCCUGGUUAGUACUUGGAUGGGAGAAUUCUCACAGCAAAAACU